UACAGAGGGUGCUAGCGUUGUUCGGAAUUACUGGGCGUAAAGGGCGCGUAGGCGGCUUUUUAAGUCAGGCGUGAAAGCCCCGGGCUCAACCUGGGAACUGCGCUUGAUACUGGAGAGCUUGAGAGCGGAAGAGGAAAGUGGAAUUCCUAGUGUAGAAGUGAAAUUCGUAGAUAUUAGGAGGAACACCAGAGGCGAAGGCGGCUUUCUGGUCCGCAACUGACGCUGAGGCGCGAAAGCGUGGGGAGCAAACAGG
rnacentral:rRNA from 1 species